UGAAGCCACUGGCCAGAAGUCACACAGCUGGAUUUAAUCCAGGAGUCUUUUUAAGAUGGAGGUGGAAGGAGGUUUGAGCAGGGAAGAGGAGAAGGCAGAGAGAGUGACAGAAACAGACUGAAGGGAUGCAUUCUGAAGAUGGAGGAAGGGGCCACAAGCCAAGGAAUGCAAGUAACCACCAGAAGGUGAAAAAGGCAAAGAAACAGCUUCUCCUUGGGAGCCUCCAGCAGGAAUCAGCCCUGCCAACACCUUGACUGCAGCCCAGAGACUGAUCUCAGACUUCUGAGCUCCAGAACUAAGCAUACUGUAUCUGCAAAAAAAAAUCACCAUUAAGAAUUGAGGUCAUCCCCAGAAUUCAGCUCGUCUUAAACACUUUAUAAGUACUCAAGAGGGGACAUCCCUGGUGGCACAGUGAUUAAGACUCUGCCUGCCAGUGCAGGGGACAUGGGUUUGAUCCCUGGUCGGGGAGGAUCCCACGUGCUGAGAAGUAACUAAGCCCGUGUGCCACAACUACUAAGCCUGCGCUCUAGAGCCCGAAGCCACAACUACUGAAGCCCGCGUCUCUAGAGCCCGUGCUCAGCAACAAGAGAAGCCACGGCAAUGAGAAGCCUGUGCACCACAACGAAGAGUAGACCCCGCUCACCGCAACUAGAGAAAGCCUGUGUGCAGCAACAAAGAUCCAAUGCAGCCAAUAAAUUAAUUAAUUAAUUUAAAAAAAUAAGUAUUCAAGAAGUGUUUGUUGGAUUGAAUGAAAUGAAAGCUUCUCUUUAACUGAAUCAUCAAAGACCCCAGAUAUGGAAUUAGAAUAUUCUUUUGUUUUCAAGAUCAACAAGAGAGAGAUCAAAGCUGCCUUGCCAGGACAUUUUUUUUUUCUCUUUUUCUUUUUCAGGUGAGAAGGCUGGUGCCUCUGUCCCAUAAAGUCAAGGGCCUCAGAAAACCUGUAAGGGAUUUCCUAUGCGGAUGCUCCCCUCUCAAUAAUGCCUAUCAGACCUGAGGUUGUAUCUCAUUGGUUGAGUUUAGGUCAUGUGCCCA